rnacentral:rRNA from 1 species
CAAGCGGUGGAGCAUGUGGUUUAAUUCGACGCAACGCGAAGAACCUUACCAGGGCUUGACAUCCCCUGACCGCGUAUGAAAGUACGUUUUCACCCUCGGGUGACAGGGAGACAGGUGGUGCAUGGUUGUCGUCAGCUCGUGUCGUGAGAUGUUGGGUUAAAGUCCCGCAACGAGCGCAACCCCUACGUUUAGUUGCUAACGCGUGAAGGCGAGCACUCUAGACGAACUGCCGUUGACAAAACGGAGGAAGGUGGGGAUGACGUCAAAUCAUCAUGCCCCUUAUGUUCUGGGCUACACACGUGCUACAAUGGCCGGUACAGACGGACGCAAAGCCGCGAGGUGGAGCAAAUCCUAAAAAGCCGGUCUCAGUUCGGAUUGCAGGCUGCAAUUCGCCUGCAUGAAGCCGGAAUCGCUAGUAAUCGCGGAUCAGCAUGCCGCGGUGAAUACGUUCCCGGGCCUU